rnacentral:rRNA from 1 species
UACGUAGGGUGCGAGCGUUGUCCGGAAUUACUGGGCGUAAAGAGCUCGUAGGUGGUUUGUCGCGUCUGCUGUGAAAACCCGAGGCUCAACCUCGGGCCUGCAGUGGGUACGGGCAGACUAGAGUGCGGUAGGGGAGAUUGGAAUUCCUGGUGUAGCGGUGGAAUGCGCAGAUAUCAGGAGGAACACCGGUGGCGAAGGCGGGUCUCUGGGCAGUAACUGACGCUGAGGAGCGAAAGCGUGGGGAGCGAACAGG